CUUGGUUUUCCCCCAUCUAAGUCCAGAUUCCAUAUUUCUUGAUCUAUAAUGAUAAAAUUUAUUUAUUUAAUCAUCAAAUUAAUCAAGACAUUCCAAAAUUCCUACUUUGGAAAAAUGACUGUUUUGCCUUUAGACUUUCACAAAAUUAUAAUUUUUCCCCUAUGCUCGUAAAAUGAUUUUCAUCGAAUUUCCACAUUAACCAAGCCUAGCCAAAACUACUUUAAGCUUAAAGCAUCUCACAAUUUCAAUUAUUUCACAUAUUUGUAACCUAUUUUAUAAACUUCACAAAAUGAUCCUUUUAUGUGUUUUCAUGAAAACCACUUCACAAAAGUUGUUUAUUUAACAACCAUGAUUCAUUUUCUUUUAUAAAAAUUUAGCAAACAACAUGAAUAGUCUCAUGGUAAAACCCUAGACUUUCAACCAUUUUGCAAAAUAGUCCCUUCAUUAGCUAGAUUAAGAUAUAAGGGUUCCAAAAACACAAAAAUCAACAAAAAUGACCACCAAAAUCACUUACUCGCAAGGGAUAGAAGUUACUAAAAUUUUGAGCUCUCAAAAACCCCCUCUUAGUUGAAAUUUUUGGUGGAGAGAAAGGAAAAAUGAAAAAGAUGAUAGCUAGCCUUUAGGUUUAUUAUUUUAUUAUAAAUUAAGUCACCUAACCUUUGACCAUUCCAUGAAUUAAGGCUCCAUGUCCAACCACUAAAAUUUUAUUGGUCUAUUUAAUCAAUAAGGACCUCUACUUUAAUGUUCCAUAUCUGUUUGACACCUUUAGCUAGUAGAACAAAAUUUUUGCACUUUAUGUGAUUUAGUCCUUUUUCAAAAUUAAGCAUGCAAUCACUGAAAUUAAUUCACCACACCUAUAUAAUCAUGCUAUAACACAUAAAAUAAUAUUAAAAUAAUUUCUACGACUUUAGAUUAGUAGUUCCAAAACCUCUGCUCCGACUAGGCCUAAAAUCGGGCAGUUACAAACUGACCGCUAUGAACCUGGUUUGUUAGAAUGCUUGUGAUUUGGGGAAUCCAUAAAACAUUCAUCAUGUACAGCAUACAUUGCAGAGAUACAAUCCCCAUGUGAUCUUUCUUUUGGAAAUGAAACUAGAUGCUAGGUGUACGGAGAUGGUUCGUCAUCAAUUCAGUUUUCUUUGUGGUUUGGAUGUUUCGGCUGUUGGUACUCAGGGUGGCCUUUCGUUGGGAUAGAAACUGAGGUGCCAGGUUCAUUUACAGAGCUUUUCAAGUCACCAUAUCGAUGAAGUUGUCGCUGAUGGUAUUGAUUGGAUGAGUUGAGGACUCACAGAGUUCUAUGGGUCCCUAGCUGAGCAUGACCGAAUGGAGUUGUCACGCUUACUUAAGUAGUUGGGGCGUGAUAAUGGUUUGCUAUGGAUUGUCGCUACUAACUUUAAUGAGAUUUCUUAUGCUUUUGAGAAGAAAAAAGAGUCGUGUUCACCAAGAGAGGCAAAUGGAGGAUUUUCUCUCUACCUUGGCGAAUUGUGAGUUGCAUGAUCUAGGUUUCUUUAGGUAAUGGUUUACUUGGGAAUAGGGUCAAUUUUCGAUACUAAUAUACGAGAGCGAUUCAAUCACUGUGUUGCUACUGCUCUAAAAAGGAAUCAUUUGUCUACUUCUUGGGUUCUACAUGCCCGUCAUUUGGUAUCUGAUCAAUGUCCAAUUGUUACCAUCAGUGUGCGUUGUCUGGGGUUUCUUUUCAGUCUUUUGCAAGCCUAUUUUUUUUUAAACUUGAUGAGUUUCUAAGUAUACUUGUGAGGAUGAGAUUUGACGCCUCUAGAUAGCAAGUAGUGGGUCGGUUCCUUAUCGCCUUUGAACUUCAAAUGUUGCUUUGUCAACUUGGAGCAUGGUGCUCACUAGGCACAAAUACAGGUUUGCUUGGGAUGCUAUGGCUUGGUUGGGGCAUUUGAAUUAGGUAGAACUUUCCGAUGAUAUUUUGGCAAAGAUCACUGAUGUUAAGUUGGCUCUUAAUAUGGAAGCUGAUAAGGAGGAGUUGUUUUGGUGUCAAAGGGCAUGAAUCUAGCCCGUAUGUUACAGUUUCACCCAAUCAGCCUCUGUAAUAUGUUGUACAAGAUUAUUUCAACGGUACUUGUGAACCAAAUUAAACGGGUGUUGGCUAUUUGUAUUGAUGAAUCCUAGAGUGCAUUUGUUCCUGGUCACUUUAUCACUAAUAACUUGUGGCUUAUGAAGUGAUUCACUUCUUUCAGAAAAAAGCGAAGUGGUCGGAAAGGUUAUUUUACUCUCAAGCUUGAUAUGAUAAAAGUUUACAAUCGGGUUGAGUGGAGUUUUCUAGAGGCUAUUAUGCUUCAGAUUUUUUUUUAUUUUGCUUGGGUGUCUUUAAUAAUCAUGCUUUGUGUCCGUACGAUUUCUUAUUUUGUGGUAUUCAGUAGGUGUUUUAUUGCACAUUUCCUGCCAUCGUGAAGCCUCCACCAAGGUGAUCCUUUAAGCCCCUUUCUUUUCCUUUUGUGUGGGGAGGGUCUCUCUGCUUUGUUCCGAUUGGCCUAGUAGGAGAGAGUUUUUGGUGGUAUUCGUGUCGGUCAGUCUAGUCCAUGUCUCACUCAUCUCCUUUUUACGAAUGACUGUAUGAUUUUUAGGCAUGUUAUUACAGAGAGUGCAGCCACUGUUCAAUCUAUCUUACAUGAGUAUGGGAGGUACUUUGGACAAUUGGUUAAUUUUGAUACACCUGCGAUUUAUUUUAGCUCCAACGUUGUUCCAUCGAAUUGCUCUCUUGUUGAAUCUGUUUUAGGAGAACGAGUUAUCACUCAUCUGACUAAGUAUUUGGGUCUCCCCUCCAUGGUUGGGAGGCGUAAGAGGGAGAAUUUAUCAUUUUCAAUGUAGCAUUGAUGGUUGGAAUUUGAACUACUUAUCUAAGGGAGGUCGGGGUGUUUUUAUUAAAUCAGUUUUGUAGGCAAUUCUUACGCUCACAAUGUAAUGUUUUUUGUUUCCUAUAUCUCUAUGUGGUAACCUCAAGGCUAUUAUGAGUAAGUUCUGGUGGAAAAAAUUAGGCAGCCGUAGGGGAAUUCCUUGGUGCUCUUAGGCAUUGUUGUGUGCGUUGAGGUGUGAAGGAGUAUGGGCUUUCGUGAUUUGACAAAAUUUAAUAUUGCGCUUCUUACGAAGCAAUGUUGGCUUAUUUUAAUGGACCCAGGUUGCUUAUGAGUUGGGUUUUUAAAGCAAGAUACUUCUCUAAUGUGGAUUUUUUGCGGGAGGAACUGGGAUCUCACCUGUUUUAUACCUAGCGUAGCAUUUGGUUGGGUUUUUAAAGUAAGAUACUUUUCUAAUGUGGAUUUUUUAUGGGUGGAACUGGGAUCUCACCUGUUUUAUACCUAGCUAGCAUCUAGUGCUUUCGGGGUCUGUCAGAGAAGAGCCUUAGAUGGCAGGUGCGUAUUGGGCAUUCCAUCUCCAUUAGGAAUGAUUGUUGGCUUCUAGGGACUGGUAACUGUCGAAUGGAAAACACACGUGUUAAUACUAUGGUUACUUGGGUGAGCGGUUUGAUUCUACAAGAUUUGGCCCAAUGGAAUAUUACCUUGAUAUUGGAGGUGUUCUCCGAUGAUGAAGCUGCUUGCAUCUUGAGUGUUCCUCUGUCUCCUUUUGCUGGUGAUGACAUGGUAGUUUGGAAAGGGGACCUGACGAGUUGUUAUGCUGUUCGCACCGGUAUAAAAUGUUUCGAUUGUCUGUACCUUUCUCCCUAUUGCCAUCUAACCAUAUCUACCCUAUGAGUUCCUAAGAUCUCUUUAAAAGGUUGUGGAAGGCCUGUGUCCCUCCUAAAGUUCACAUUACAGUUUGGAAGUUUCUCAAGGACUAUGCUCCUACUCUAUACAAUCUCUACAACAGCCACAUCCCUCACACCCAAUUUUGUCCUAAAUGUCUAACUGUACCUGAGACGACUACCCAUGUUGUCUGGGAUUGCCCUUUUGCCGCUUUAGUAUGGGACCAUUUGUGCAUUUC
rnacentral:lncRNA from 1 species